rnacentral:lncRNA from 1 species
UAGAAAUAGCAGAUGACUUGCCUCCUAAAGCAAACCCUGGGAACCCUUCAAACACCUGCAGUGCAGAGUCCUUUCUCCAUGUUAUGUGGGGCCGCUCUGGUGUCCCAGCCCCUGUGAAUGAGGUCACGACGCCAGCUCAGCCAGUCCUGGAAGCCAUCUGAGAGCUGCUCUCCUGCUCAAGCCAAUGUGUGAAAUACGGCAUUUUGGAUACAUCAUCACCAGUGAGCCAAGCUGGACGCUAGUUAAAGCGGAACCACCAUCAGAAGCCAUCCAGAGAAACGCACCAGGCCACAAAGCACUGGGGGCCAGGGAUCUUGCCCCUGCUGUCUGCCAUGGGUUGACCCCCAGCCUCCAACCCUACCAUCCCCUGACGGUGUCUGCAGCAGUUGAACCCAACCAGCAUCUAAAAGAACACAGUUGGUGAACGAGACUGGGACACAGGGCAAGAUGGGUGGACAAUGGGAGGCUCCUGGAGAGCACCCGUACCAGCGAGCAUAGAAUUCAUGGGGGUGACCUGUUCCCUGAAGCAUCUGCGCGUGUUGUUCCAGCAUUUUCUUCAAGGAUUGAGCCAGCAGCACCAGUGUCAUACGGUGCUUAAAUCAAUGAUUCACAACCAACCAAUGAAAUACAAGGUGCCGGCUGGGCGCGGUGGCUCACGCCUGUAAUCCCAGCACUUUGGGAGGCCGAGGCGGGCGGAUCACAAGGUCGGGAGUUCGAGACCAGCCUGGCCAACAUGGUGAAGCC